GGUUUAUGAACUUGGCUCAUGAAUCUUGGUUUAUGGACUUGAUUCAUGAUUCAUGAUCUUGGUUUAUGGUUUAUGAAGUUGGGUAUAUUGGAUAUAGUUCAUGAACUUGGUUUAUUUUGGUUCAUAGGCCUUGAUUCAUGAACUUGGGUUAUGAUCCGUGGUGUUUGGUUCACGAACUUGGGUGAGGUUCAUGGAUUUGGUUCGUGGUUCAUGAACUUGGUUUAUGAGUUUUGGUUCAUGAGACUUGAUUCAUGAACUUGGGUAUAGAAUUUGGGAUUUGGUUCACGAACUUAGGUUCAUGAGCCUAAGUUAGAAGUUGGAUUUGAGUUUUGGGUUUGGAUUUGGAUUGUGGACUUGAUUUGAGUUGGGUUUGGGUUCUUUAUGUGGACAUGGUUUGGAUUUUGGUUUGGAUUUUAUUUGGGUUUUGGAUUUGGGUUGUGGACUUGGGUUGUGGACUUGAUUUGGUUUUAGGUUUGGAUUUGAUUUGGUUUGGAUUUGGGUUCGGAUUUUAUUUGGGCUUUGGUUUUGGGCUUUAUUUGUGCACUUGAUUUGGUUUGGGCUUGGGUUUAUUUAUGGAAUGGGUUUGGGUUCUUUAUGUGGACUUGGUUUGGUUUGGGUUUAUUUGGGUUUUGGGUUUGNGUUUUGGUUCAUAGGCCUUGAUUCAUGAACUUGGGUUAUGAUCCGUGGUGUUUGGUUCACGAACUUGGGUGAGGUUCAUGGAUUUGUUUCGUGGUUCAUGAACUUGGUUUAUAACUUUUGGUUCAUGAGACUUUAUUCAUGAACUUGGGUAUAGAAUUUGGGAUUUGGUUCACGAACUUAGGUUCAUGAGCCUAAGUUAGUAGUUGGAUUUGAGUUUUGGGUUUGGAUUUGGAUUGUGGACUUGAUUUGAGUUGGGUUUGGGUUCGUUAUGUGGACUUGGUUUGGAUUUUGGUUUGGAUUUUAUUUGGGUUUUGGAUUUGGGUUGUGGACUUGAUUUGAGUUGGGUUUGGGUUCUUUAUGUGGACUUGGUUUGGUUUUAGGUUUGGAUUUUAUUUGGGUUUUGAAUUUGGGUUGUGGACUUGGGUUGUGGACUUGAUUUGGUUUUUGUUUGGUUUGGGUUUGGAUUUUAUUUGGGUUUUGGUUUCAGGCUUUAUUUGUGAAUUUAAUUUGGUUUGGGCUUGGGUUUAUUUAUGGAAUGGGUUUGGGUUCUUUAUGUGGACUUGGUUUGGUUUGGGUUUAUUUGGGUUUUGAGUUUGGUUUGGGUUUUGGGUUUGGUUUGGGUUCAAGUUUGGGUUUAUUUGUAGACUAGGUUUGGGUUUAGGUUUGGAUUUGAUUUGGGUUUUGGGUUUUGGUUUAUUUGUGGAUUGUAUUUGGUUUUGGUUUGGUUUGGGUUCGGAUUUUAUUUCGGGUUCGGGGCAAUCCACUUUUGAUUUUUGCAAUUUGGUUCGGAUC
rnacentral:lncRNA from 1 species